rnacentral:rRNA from 1 species
UACAGAGGGUGCAAGCGUUGUUCGGAAUUACUGGGCGUAAAGCGCGUGUAGGCGGCUUAUUAAGUCAGAUGUGAAAUCCCUUGGCUCAACUGAGGAACUGCAUCUGAAACUGGUAAGCUUGAGUGUCGGAGGGGAUGGUAGAAUUCCUGGUGUAGAGGUGAAAUUCGUAGAUAUCAGGAGGAAUACCUGUGGCGAAGGCGACCAUCUGGAAGACAACUGACGCUGAGACGCGAAAGCGUGGGUAGCAAACAGG